rnacentral:lncRNA from 1 species
UUUUUAAUUUAUUAGAACCCAGUAAAUGAUGAUUUUAAAAGCAGAGUUUCCAUCAAAUUAACACUUAAUUCAGGGCAAAAAUACAUUUAAAAAACCUAAAUCUUAAGGCAGAAGUAAAACAUUAUAAAAACAGUAUGUCUAAUACAGACUGUAAAAUGUCAGAUUUUUAAGAGAUUCACAUAGUAUUUUAUAGCACUAAAAUAUUAAUACAGUCAGAAAUAUUAUCAAUUGGUCCAAGAUUUCUGUUUAUAAAAUGUCUAGACUGCUAAUUGAAGAAAUGUUGCUGUAUAAGUAAUAGCUACAAUACAACCAACCAAGUGAUUGUUUUUAUGACAAAAGAACUAAGGCAGGUAAUUGCAUGGUUUCCAUUUGUAAAGCUUUUGCAGUAUUAAAAUAUAAAGCAUUACUAGGGGUAUUUUUUGAUUCAUCUCCCUACCCUAAUGCCCCCGAAAUGUACAUCACUUCCCUUUAACUCUAUUUUAAAAUUCUGUGAAACCACCAUACCUAUUCAUUGUAGGCCUGACCCUAUAAAGGCAUGAAUUGUUUAAUUUGAUAUGGUAGAAAAACAAUUUUAGUAAACUACUACAUCUUUUCCUAGUCAUUGAGCAAUUUCAAACAGAAGUCUUAAGAAUUUUUGCACCUCAGCAAGUGAACAACCUGUUUCUUUACCACUAUAAGUUUGAAUUUUGCCUAGAAUGUGUUAGUACACAGGGGAAAACACAUUUCAUGUUUAUGUGCAAUUAACAGUAGCCCUUCUGAAAAACAGGGUUAACAAUCUUAAAUUUCCCCUUGUGAUCAAAACCUUUUGUUUUUAGGGGGCAGGAUAAGAUUUAAAAGUGCUUUAAAUCAGAAAACAAGAAUUAGCUAGCUUACACAUUCCACUGAAUAGUGUCAAAAAAGAUAAAUGCAUUUAAAAUAAUUUGUAAGUCUAGCAAAUAUAAGCUUGACGGGUUCUUAACUAACAUAUUAAGUAAUUACAAAGAUUCAUUUUUUUACAAACUUUUAAGCUAUUUUAAUAAAAUGGCUAUAGACCUCACUGUACUUCUAUUUAUCUGUGCAUUAAUAAAAACCUGUUAAAAUUCCUUAUUUAGUACUUCUGAAAAAGUCUAAUCAAAUAAGAUCACUAAAAUUACCAGAAAAGCUUUGAAAUACUGAUUGCAGAUUCAUUUCAAAGUAGAUUUAACCCCUUUCAGGAUCUGGUGUUUAAAUCAUGAAUGUCUUCACCAACUUCAACUCUGAAAAUAUAAAAAUUUUAGCCAGUUCUGGCUAUAGUUAAACAGUACUGGUAUUACUUGAAAAAAUAAAAAUUAAAAAUAUAUUGUCAAUCAUGCAUUCCACAAUUUCAAGAACUAAGAUAUAACUCAUAAAUACUGUUAUGUCUUUGCAGGUUAUCUCAAUUUCCAUCAGGCCUCAGCUGAAAGCUCAUCUGCCAAAACACAUCAGCACUCAUGUAAAAUAAAAGGAGUAGGGAGGUGACUUUCUACACAAUACUGUACAGUGUUUGGCUUCCAGUUUCCCUCUUGUGUGUAACUAUUCUAGGUAUGACUCCUUGAGCGUGAAAUGAGGGGUAGAUAGAACAGAACAGCUGUUGGGCUAACAAGAAUUAGUGUGUAGACUGGGCGCAGUGGCUCAUGCCUGGAAUUCCAGCACUUUGGGAGGCCAAUGCAGGAGGAUCACCUGAGGUCAGGAGUUCAAGACCAGCCUGGCCAACAUGGUGAAACCCGUCUUUAUUAAAUAUACAAUUAUUAGCUCUCUAUUAAAAAUACAAAAAUUAGCUGGGCAUGGUGGUGGGUGCCUGUAAUCCCAGCUACUUGGGAGGCUGAGGCAGGAAAAUUGCCUGAACCCAGGAGGCGGAGGUUGCAGUGAGCCAAGAUUGUGCCAUUGCACUCCAGCCUGGGAAACAAGACUAAAACUCUGUCUCAAAAAAAAAAAAAAAAAGAAUUAGAGUAUAAAAAGUUUUCUGCUGAAUAUCUGUUCUGUUCUUACUGUGGUUAUGCUAUGCCACAUAUAACCUGUACAACUAUUUUGUCCUGUUUAUCUAUUUGUGGAAAUAAGUCGGCUCAAUAAAAUGUGAAAUAUACAUUAGUUUGCUUUAGAUGCAAAGAUUAGCUGUUUUUGGCUUAACUGUAUCAUAACCAAAAAAGUCUAUACCUUGAUAAUACAAUAUGAAAAAGUUCACAUAUGUACAUGGGUACAUUCCUUCAUUAAAGUUUUUCCUUAAUUCUAUCUCAAUGUAUCUUUACAACUGAUACAAUUCGUCUUUACAACAAAAGUCAGAAAGGACAAAGUAGAAUGAUUUCAUUUUACAGCACUUUAGGUUUUCUGAAGCAUUCCUUUAGGACUUAAAGGACAUCAUUGAAAUGUUGCUUUCCAUAGUCUGCAGGAUCCAUUUGAAGCUCUCGUUCUUCAUCAUCUGUGCCCUAUCCUGCCACUAUCAUCUAGAGAAUGCCAGAAUGAGACAAGAAAUGUUAAAUGGCAACACUCAGCUCACUUUAGAGCCAUGCUGCGGAUCAACAGGGGAUUCAUUUUCAUCAAAGAAUCGGCCUGUGAAGUAGGUAGAGGAUUAAUUCAAGAGUAAAGAGAGAAGAAAAGAAGGAAUCUAUACGGAAGGCAGACCAGAAAGUAAACAAGUGAAAGCUGGCAACUUUUGGGGUACUGGAUAUAAAAGGAUACAUUUUGUGAAGGUUAUCCAAGACAAAAGUAUAUAAGAGGGAAGACUCUGAAAAUAUGUAAUUUUUAUUAAGAA